rnacentral:lncRNA from 1 species
UUGUUGGACUUUUGGAUAAACAAUAGAAGUGUAUAAUCAUGGGUGUUGGCUUAAAGAGACAAGCAUCCUGCCUUAUGGCGGGAGGCCAUGUUGACUCGAGUCACAUUAAAAAUGGCAAGAGGCCAGAUUGGGCCGAGUUAUGUUCGAAAUAGCGUGAGGCUGGAUGAAUCGAGUUACAAUCGAAGUCUGUGGUGCUGUGUUUGCACACUUUAACUGAAUUAAUUGCGUAAUUAUAACAACUCCAACUUUUGGGAUUAAUUGGUUAACACCAACGAUCAGACAAAUGGUAUCAGAACUAGAGAUCACGAGUUUGAUUUUCACAUGCUGCGAAUUUUAUAGAUGCUAGAGGGGGUUGUUGGUUUAAAGGGG